rnacentral:tRNA from 1 species
UUAUUGGUAGGUUAUCUUUAAACUGGUAGAUUGUGGUUCUGCAGAAUGUGUUUAUUUGCACACUUAUAAU